AGUGGUUUCGCAUUAGUACCACCCUUGAAAAUCAAAAUAAUAUCGGUUACUAGUUUUUUGCUUAUCUGUGGAGUGCAGGUAAACUAGUUUCUUGUUGUCAAUAUGGCCGAAGAAAAUAUUUGUUCUAUUGCGUUAAUUCUUAAUAAGAAAGAUUGCAAUUCUAAAAGGCUGGUUGAUAAUUAUAGUGAGCGAAAUGUGAGCGAACUGAGUCCAAGUGAAACAGAGUUGUUAUUAUUGAGGACCAGGUUGUCCAAUACUGACAGCUUAACGAAAAUUUGUGAACACCACGAGCGAGACUUUUCAUUAGACAACCAAUCAAGCUUUAUUGGGGUAUGAUUUUGAGAAGUUGUUGUAAUCCAUUUUAUCUUCAUGCUAGGAAACGUAAAGCCUUGAAGGUUAUUUCUCUGUCCCUAUCUAGAAAAACAGCAGCCAUUCCUCCACUCAUUGUUGGUUACAAGUUGUGCAUAGUCUGUUUUCAACAUGCAAUGAACUUGAAUGUUACGAAGUGCCAAAUUGAUAAAGUUGCUGAUAGUAUCCUGGAUAGACCUAUUGCAUCUGCAUCUUCUUUUGGUUCUAAUGCUAAAUUUUAUUAAGUGAACAGAAUGCAAAUGAUUCUGGAGAAAAGGUUGACGCACUGUGUGCAAGCCUUGGUCUGUCACCUUUGACACAAAAAUCCAAGCUUGAUUUGGAACAAAUAACUCAUUUUGGAAUUCGGUAAUUGGCGAAAAUUUCAGAUGCAGUAGCGAAUGAACUUUCCGGCGCCCUACAAAUUUUUCUUUCAAACGAGACUGGACAAAACU